AUGCAUGUCUAAGUACAAGCCAGCUUAAGGUGAAACCGCGAAUGGCUCAUUAAACCACACCUAAUGUACCGGACAGUUUCAAUUACUUGGAUAACUGCGGUAAUUCUGGAGCUAAUACAUGCCUCAAAGCCCUGACUCACGGAAGGGCGCUUUUAUUAGAUCAAAACCAAACGGCUUGUCCGUUUUUUUGGUGACUCUGAAUAACUUCUUGCUGAUCGUAUGGCUCUACGCCGACGACGUGUCCGUCCAAGGUGUGCCCUAUCAACUGUCGACUGUGGCAUAGACGCCCACAGUGGUUUUGACGGGUAACGGGGAAUUAGGGUUCGAUUCCGGAGAGGGAGCCUGAGAAACGGCUACCACU
rnacentral:rRNA from 1 species